GCUCACGUGCGCGAAUUGGUGAAACGGGCACACUGCUAAUGUGUUGGUCGGGAAACCGGCCUGGGGGUUCGAAUCCCUCCGUGAGCGC
rnacentral:tRNA from 1 species